rnacentral:rRNA from 1 species
AACGAACGCUGGCGGCAUGCCUAACACAUGCAAGUCGAACGAGACCUUCGGGUCUAGUGGCGCACGGGUGCGUAACGCGUGGGAAGCUACCCUUGGGUUCGGAAUAACUGUUAGAAAUGACUGCUAAUACCGGAUGAUGACGUAAGUCCAAAGAUUUAUCGCCCAAGGAGGAGCCCGCGUAAGAUUAGCUUGUUGGUGGGGUAAUGGCCUACCAAGGCGACGAUCUUUAGCUGGUCUGGAAGGAUGAUCAGCCACACUGGGACUGAGACACGGCCCAGACUCCUACGGGAGGCAGCAGUGGGGAAUAUUGGACAAUGGGCGAAAGCCUGAUCCAGCAAUGCCGCGUGAGUGAUGAAGGCCUUAGGGUUGUAAAGCUCUUUUACCAGGGAUGAUAAUGCCAGUACCUGGAGAAUAAGCUCCGGCUAACUCCGUGCAGCCGCCGCAGUAA